AUUGAACGCUGGCGGCAGGCCUAACACAUGCAAGUCGAGCGGAUGAAGGGAGCUUGCUCCUGGAUUCAGCAGCGGACGGGUGAGUAAUGCCUAGGAAUCUGCCUGGUAGUGGGGGAUAACGUCCGGAAACGGGCGCUAAUACCGCAUACGUCCUGAGGGAGAAAGUGGGGGAUCUUCGGACCUCACGCUAUCAGAUGAGCCUAGGUCGGAUUAGCUAGUUGGUGGGGUAAAGGCCUACCAAGGCGACGAUCCGUAACUGGUCUGAGAGGAUGAUCAGUCACACUGGAACUGAGAAACGGUCCAGACUCCUACGGGAGGCAGCAGUGGGGAAUAUUGGACAAUGGGCGAAAGCCUGAUCCAGCCAUGCCGCGUGUGUGAAGAAGGUCUUCGGAUUGUAAAGCACUUUAAGUUGGGAGGAAGGGCAGUAAGUUAAUACCUUGCUGUUUUGACGUUACCAACAGAAUAAGCACCGGCUAACUUCGUG
rnacentral:rRNA from 1 species